ensembl:antisense
AAGCCUGGCUCCCUCCAUGCAUGCCAUGGGCCUCAGUGAGACUGAGGUACAAACUGCUUACUCUCCCCACCCCCUGCACGAGCCUGACACAUCGCCCGUCCUCAGGGGGCAUGCCCUGGUUUUAUUAUUUUAAUACUAGGACUAAAAGAUUUAGGACGGAAAGCAUUUGAGUUGGUGUCAGCUUGGAGAACACACCGUGCACACAGUAGUGAGUUGAGAAGCUGAACUGUUGCGAGACGGAGACCUUGGGACUAACGGCUUCCUCUACCGAGAGCACCAGGAGCCCGUUUACUUGAUCUCCUUCAAGGCUGCCUCUGGUCUGGACUGAAAUCACUGUGGGAGUGUUUCCCUGUUCUUCCCAGAAUCCAGCCACUUCCACUGAAUGCUGGGGUCAGGAGGGAAGCCCUGAGGAUCAAUAGCUAUGCUAGGAUCCCUCUACUGAUGCUGCCACAGGAUUCCAACUGUGCGCCAUCGAUGGGUCUGGUUUUGCUGGGAUGUCCAACAUCUUUCAACCUCUGGCAUACUAUCUGGAUUGAGGAAGCUGGCCCUAACUAGACUGGGAGACAUGUCUGUCUACUUCUACUUAUCCAUCAUGGCAGUAAAAUAUCUAAAUCGCAGAGAGUGUUUUCAAACGAGGGAGGAGAAGCUUCUCGUUUACCUCGCAUCUGGAGAGAUGUUCACCAAAGGCUUGAAGGUUUCUUGUAAGUACAACUCUGCGUUUGUAGAAGGGAAACACAGUCAGUUACAGACCUGCUGUGUGUAACGCUGCUUUACAUUCAAAGAGCCUCAGCCGACAGGAAAUAACGAGACAAACCGGAGACCCAAAUACAAGAUCAUUUCAUUUACCCCAAACGACUGUUUGCAGUCAUGGUUAUUUAAUGUGGCCUCAACUGUUUUCAGGACAUUUUAUUUGUAGGAAAGGCUCUGAUGCAGAGCAAUGGCAGCAGAGGCCACUUGGCCCCAUCAAGGUCACAUUGACUAUCAAGAAAUGAACAUUUACAGAAUCCCUUAGAACAGAUUUUCAUAAUCUGGGAAACAGCAUCACUCUAACCAAUGCUCUUCAAACAAUCUUGUUGUAUUUCACUCAAUCGAUGCUUAAAACCCAUCAUGUUGGAAUUCUUGCUAGCAUAUACAUGUUUUCUUUGUAAAGAAAUCAACUGUACUUAAUUUGGUUUGCUGAGGUCUGUAUGCAGAAGGUAUCUUGAGAACAUCCUGAUAUUGUCUCAUCUUCAAGUACCCCGUAGGUGGAAGUGUAAGUAUACCUAACCCACAGUCAAUGGGAUGCACACAGCACAGCUGCAUGAGAGGAGCCUGUCUUGGUUGUUGAUCGUCAUGUUACUUACUGACAGGCCAUCUGGAUGACAUGCUGACUUCAUUCAUUCAGUCUGCCUUGAUAAAGCCAGGCUCAAUAAAAUAUCCCUUGCCAAGCUUUC